AGAGUUUGAUCCUGGCUCAGGAUGAACGCUAGCGGCAGGCUUAAUACAUGCAAGUCGAACGGGAUUCAGGGUAGCAAUACUUUGAUGAGAGUGGCGCACGGGUGCGUAACGCGUAUGCAACCUACCUUUAACAGGGGAAUAGCCCCGAGAAAUCGGGAUUAAUACUCCGUAACAUUGCGGGAUGGCAUCAUUCUGCAAUUAAAGAUUUAUCGGUUAAAGAUGGGCAUGCGUGACAUUAGCUUGUUGGUGAGGUAACGGCUCACCAAGGCAACGAUGUCUAGGGGUCCUGAGAGGGUUAUCCCCCACACUGGUACUGAGACACGGACCAGACUCCUACGGGAGGCAGCAGUAAGGAAUAUUGGUCAAUGGGCGCAAGCCUGAACCAGCCAUGCCGCGUGCAGGAAGACGGCCCUAUGGGUUGUAAACUGCUUUUGUCAGGGAAUAAACCUGUCUACGUGUAGACAGCUGAAGGUACCUGAAGAAUAAGCAUCGGCUAACUCCGUGCCAGCAGCCGCGGUAAUACGGAGGAUGCAAGCGUUAUCCGGAUUCAUUGGGUUUAAAGGGUGCGCAGGCGGAUUGUUAAGUCAGGGGUGAAAUCCUACAGCUCAACUGUAGAACUGCCCUUGAUACUGUCAGUCUAGAGUAUAGUUGAAGUGGGCGGAAUGUGUCAUGUAGCGGUGAAAUGCUUAGAUAUGACACAGAACACCGAUCGCGAAGGCAGCUCGCUAAGCUAUAACUGACGCUCAUGCACGAAAGCGUGGGGAUCAAACAGGAUUAGAUACCCUGGUAGUC
rnacentral:rRNA from 1 species